rnacentral:rRNA from 1 species
AUUGAACGCUGGCGGCAGGCCUAACACAUGCAAGUCGAGCGGAUGAAGGGAGCUUGCUCCUGGAUUCAGCGGCGGACGGGUGAGUAAUGCCUAGGAAUCUGCCUGGUAGUGGGGGAUAACGUCCGGAAACGGGCGCUAAUACCGCAUACGUCCUGAGGGAGAAAGUGGGGGAUCUUCGGACCUCACGCUAUGAGAUGAGCCUAGGUCGGAUUAGCUAGUUGGUGGGGUAAAGGCCUACUAAGGCGACGAUCCGUAACUGGCCUGAGAGGAUGAUCAGUCACACUGGAACUGAGACACGGUCCAGACUCCUACGGGAGGCAGCAGAGGGGAAUAGUGGACAGUGGGCGAAAGCCUGAUCCAGCCAUGCCGCGUGUGUGAAGAAGGUCUUCGGAUUGUAAAGCACUUUAAGUUGGGAGGAAGGGCAGUAAGUUAAUACCUUGCUGUUUUGACGUUACCAACAGAAUAAGCACCGGCUAACUUCGUG